rnacentral:tRNA from 1 species
AGAUCAAUUUUUUAUUAUUAUUUCUGCAAAAAAUAUAUAAUAUUAUUUUUUUUUUUGAUUAU